rnacentral:rRNA from 1 species
GACGAACGCUGGCGGCGUGCCUAAUACAUGCAAGUAGAACGCACAGUUUAUACCGUAGCUUGCUACACCAUAGACUGUGAGUUGCGAACGGGUGAGUAACGCGUAGGUAACCUGCCUGGUAGCGGGGGAUAACUAUUGGAAACGAUAGCUAAUACCGCAUAAUAUUGAUUAUUGCAUGAUAAUUGAUUGAAAGAUGCUAUUGCAUCACUACCAGAUGGACCUGCGUUGUAUUAGCUAGUAGGUGAGGUAACGGCUCACCUAGGCGACGAUACAUAGCCGACCGGAGAGGGUGAUCAGCCACACUGGGAGUGAGACACGGCCCAGACGCCUACGGGAGGCAGCAGUAGGGAAUCUUCGGCAAUGGACGAAAGUCUGACCGAGCAACGCCGCGGGAGUGAAGAAGGUUUUCGGAUCGUAAAGCUCUGUUGUAAGAGAAGAACGGGUGUGAGAGUGGAAAGUUCACACUGUGACGGUAUCUUACCAGAAAGGGACGGCUAACUACGUG